rnacentral:rRNA from 1 species
CCUACGGGAGGCAGCAGUAGGGAAUCUUCCGCAAUGGACGAAAGUCUGACGGAGCAAUGCCGCGUGAGUGAAGAAGGUUUUCGGAUUGUAAAACUCUGUUGUUAGAGAAGAACAAGGAUGAGCGUAACUACUCAUCCCCUGACGGUAUCUAACCAGAAAGCCAUGGCUAACUACGUGCCAGCAGCCGCAGUAAUACGUAGAUGGCAAGCGUUGUCCGGAUUUAUUGGGCGUAAAGCGAGCGCAGGCGGUUCUUUAAGUCUGAUGUGAAAGCCCCCAGCUCAACUGGGGAAGGUCAUUGGAAACUGGGGAACUUGAGUGCAGAAGAGGAGAGUGGAAUUCCACGUGUAGCGGUGAAAUGCGUAGAUAUGUGGAGGAACACCAGUGGCGAAGGCGACUCUCUGGUCUGUAACUGACGCUGAGGCUCGAAAGCGUGGGGAGCAAACAGGAUUAGAUACCCUGGUAGUCCACGCCGUAAACGAUGAGUGCUAAGUGUUGGAGGGUUUCCGCCCUUCAGUGCUGCAGUUAACGCAUUAAGCACUCCGCCUGGGGAGUACGGUCGCAAGGCUGAAACUCAAAUGAAUUGACGGA